CACGUAAGGUGCUAGCGUUGUUCGGAAUUAUUGGGCGUAAAGGGCAUGUAGGCGGUGCCAUAAGUCAGACGUGAAAUCCCGGGGCUCAACCCCGGAACUGCGUUUGAUACUGUGGCACUUGAGUCAGUGAGGCGGAACCGGAAUUCCUGGUGUAGGGGUGAAAUCUGUAGAUAUCAGGAAGAACACCGGUGGCGAAGGCAGGUUCCGAGCGCAUGACUGACGCUGAGGUGCGAAGGUGCGGGGAGCGAAC
rnacentral:rRNA from 1 species